rnacentral:rRNA from 1 species
GUGGGGAAUCUUGCGCAAUGGGCGAAAGCCUGACGCAGCCAUGCCGCGUGAAUGAUGAAGGUCUUAGGAUUGUAAAAUUCUUUCACCGGGGACGAUAAUGACGGUACCCGGAGAAGAAGCCCCGGCUAACUUCGUGCCAGCAGCCGCGGUAAUACGAAGGGGGCUAGCGUUGCUCGGAAUUACUGGGCGUAAAGGGCGCGUAGGCGGACAGUUUAGUCAGAGGUGAAAGCCCAGGGCUCAACCUUGGAAUUGCCUUUGAUACUGGCUGUCUUGAGUACGGGAGAGGUGAGUGGAACUCCGAGUGUAGAGGUGAAAUUCGUAGAUAUUCGGAAGAACACCAGUGGCGAAGGCGACUCACUGACCCGUUACUGACGCUGAGGCGCGAAAGCGUGGGGAGCAAACAGGAUUAGAAACCCGGGUAGUCC